CCUACGGGUGGCAGCAGUGGGGAAUAUUGGGCAAUGGGCGCAAGCCUGACCCAGCAACGCCGCGUGAAGGAAGAAGGCUUUCGGGUUGUAAACUUCUUUUUUCAGGGACGAAGAAAGUGACGGUACCUGAGGACUAAGCCACGGCUAACUACGUGCCAGCAGCCGCGGUAAUACGUAGGUGGCAAGCGUUUUCCGGAUUUAUUGGGUGUAAAGGGCGUGUAGGCGGGAGCGCAAGUCAGAUGUGAAAACUCAGGGCUCAACCCUGAGCCUGCAUUUGAAACUGUGUUUCUUGAGUGCUGGGGAGGCAAUCGGAAUUCCGUGUGUAGCGGUGAAAUGCGUAGAUAUACGGAGGAACACCAGUGGCGAAGGCAGAUUGCUGGACAGUAACUGACGCUGAGGCGCGAAAGCGUGGGGAGCAAACAGGAUUAGAUACCCGAGUAGUC
rnacentral:rRNA from 1 species